AAAAUCCGUCGACUUUUAAAAUCGUGAGGGUUCAAGUCCCUUUAUCUUACUCUCU
rnacentral:tRNA from 1 species